CAGUCGCCGCGGUAAUACGUAGGUCCCGAGCGUUGUCCGGAUUUAUUGGGCGUAAAGCGAGCGCAGGCGGUUUGAUAAGUCUGAAGUUAAAGGCUGUGGCUCAACCAUAGUUCGCUUUGGAAACUGUCAAACUUGAGUGCAGAAGGGGAGAGUGGAAUUCCAUGUGUAGCGGUGAAAUGCGUAGAUAUAUGGAGGAACACCGGUGGCGAAAGCGGCUCUCUGGUCUGUAACUGACGCUGAGGCUCGAAAGCGUGGGGAGCGAACAGGAUUAGAUACCCGCGUAGUCCCUGUCUCUUAUACA
rnacentral:rRNA from 1 species